AUGAAGAGAGAACUGGAAAGAAGAAAGGAAGAAAUGGAUAGAAGGGAGAGAGAACUGAACAUAGAUAUGGAUAGAAGAAAGGAAGAAAUGGAUAGAAGAGAGAGAGAACUGAACAUAGAAAUGGAUAGAAGAAAGGAAGAAAUGGAUAGAAGAGAGAUAGAACUGAAAAUAGAAAUGGAUAGAAGAAAGAAGGAAAUGAAUAGAAUAGAGAGCGAACUGGACAAAAAAUUGUUUAUAAGAAAGGACGAAAUGGAUAGAAGAAAGGAAGAAAUGGAUAGAAGAGCGACGGAACUUGAUAGAAGAGAGAAAGAAAUGGGUGAUCGUGAAGUACUUCAUGAAAUGCCAGCGGCAGCAGAAGCAGAAGACGGACCGGGCACAAGCUCAGACCAAUCAAAGAAGAUGCCGACUGAAGCACUGAAACUUGUGCGACGAAACAGCAUAGACAAAGAUAACCCUAACAUGUCUGAAAGGGAGGACAAACCUCCAGCUACUCCCUGAACAGACCACGAUUACACCGGAGCACGUUGAAGGAUUUUCCACUUUUCCAGUGAAGGUUGAGUACAAAUGAUCAAUUGAUUAAUCAGUUGAUAUAUAUAUUAUGAUAUAGAACUUUAUUGUUAGACAAAGACUGAUUUUCUUUUCUUGCAUGAUAGUAUGUUCAUUCACAAUUACUACCACAAGGAUCACCAGAUCUUUACAAACUCUUAUAACAAAAUACAACGUUUCACAAGUUAGUUGAGUUUAGAUUUUCCAUAUUCAAUUCUGUGAUGCAAAAAAGAGUGUUUUAGGUCUAACAGGUCAGGUUGUAGGUUAGGUCAGAAACAAUUUUAUUGACCAGCCUGAAGAGUCUCUUCUGAUAAGAUGAUUCUUGUACCUUUUCAAGAGGCUGUCCUGCAAUCUUUGAGCUAAUUUUUAUUCAGUUCAUCAGCUUUGUUUUUAAACUAAAUGACAGAUUAAUUUACCAAAUGGACUUACAACACUGUAAAACACUCAUGAUCAUAGACAUAAUAAUAAAAUAAUCUGUUUUCUUGCUCCA
ensembl:lncRNA